rnacentral:rRNA from 1 species
CGGGGUGCACCAGGCGCGAAACCUUUUCAAUGCGCGCAAGCGUGAGAAGGGAAUUCCAAGUGCUCAAGUUUUACUUGGGCUUUUGCCAAGUGUAAAAAGCUUGGCGAAUAAGGGGUGGGAAAGACUGGUGCCAGCCGCCGCGGUAACACCAGCGCCUCGAGUGGGGAUCACGAUUAUUGGGUCUAAAGCGUCCGUAGCAGGCUUUGUAAAUGCUUUGUGAAGUCGGCAGGCUUAACCUGCCGGCGUGCAGAGUAGACUGCAGAGCUCGAGACCGGGAGAGGUUAGAAGUAUUCCUAGGGUACCGGUAAAAUGGGUUAAUCCUAGGAGGACUACCUAUGGCGAAGGCAUCUAACCAGAACGGUUCUGACUGUGAGGGACGAAAGCUAGGGGAGCAAAACGGAUUAUAUACCCGAGUAGUCCUAGCCGUAAACGCUGUGAGCAAGGUAUUGCACUUCCCACGAGGACGUGCAGUGUCAAAACGAAGGUGUUAAGCUCACCACCAGGGAAGUACGGUCGCAAGGCUGAAACUUUAAGGAAUUGGCGGGGGAGCAC